ACAUUUCAUAAAAUAGAUUUCAAAUUUAGAGCAAAGGGGGCCGGGUAUCCAAAUUCUACAAAUUACUAAAUUUGUUCUUUAAUUCCAUUUUCAUAUACGGUAAAUCUAAAAAUAUUCAAAUCAAGCUUAAGAAACGAUGCUAAAUUAACAAUUAUUAUAGAUAGUAAGUGAGUAAGAUUACAUUCGACUGAGAUCGAAUCUACCUUCAUUUGACAUCAUGGAAUCUAAUUGAGAAUUUUUAGCACUACAUGUCUUUAUACACUUCCAUUGAUGGCAGCAGGAAUCAGUCAUGCGGUUGGUAGUUUGGCCACGAUACAGCGCAUCGCAUUUCUGGGCAGUUGCUAAAAAACGUGCUUAUGUUCGAGUUGUAGAAAAUCCAAAUGAGCUGCAGAAAAAGAGUGUUACGAUAAGUAGACUCUUGGACAGUAGACGUGACAGAAAGAAGACUUAAAGUGAUAUAUAUAUACAUAUAUACAACAAUCGGAUGCAGGUUUACCAGUAAGAGCUAAAGCUCGCAUCUCAGUCUCUCUUGGAGCUAUUCAAUUAAAAGGUAAUUCAGAUCGAUGUAAAAAAUCAACCGCAAAAAAAUAAAAAUAAAAAUAAUAAUUAAAUAAAUAAAUAAA